UACGAAGGUCCCAAGCGUUAUCCGGAUUUAUUGGGUUUAAAGGGUGCGUAGGCGGGUUAUUAAGUCAGUGGUGAAAGCUCCCAGCUCAACUGGGAAACUGCCAUUGAUACUGAUAGUCUUGAGUAUGAUUGAAGUGGGCGGAAUGUGUCAUGUAGCGGUGAAAUGCUUAGAUAUGACAACAGAAACACCGAUUGCGAAGGCAGCUCACUAA
rnacentral:rRNA from 1 species